rnacentral:lncRNA from 1 species
AACUGGCACGCCUUGUCCUUGCUCAGGUCGUCUUCGGACUUGCGCCACCCGCGGUCCUUCUGGCUCACCGGCGCGUAGCACAGGUUCACCUUCACGUUCUUGUACGCGGCGUCGGCGCCGGCGGGUUCGGUGGUGUUCAGGGACCAGGUCACCGUCACCGUGUCCACGCCGGCGUGCAGAACUGCGCAUGGCCAUGGAUUUCGUGAUGAGUACAAUAAAGAUUCUACUUUUUGACCUUCGAACACGCGGGAAAUGGACGGUGAAAGGUUUUCCUACUACUGCCCGGCCUAGAUAUAUAGCUUCAAAAAUGUUUCUUACUCGGUUUGCUUUUCAGACGCAUUGCAAGCAACAAAAGAACAUAGUUCAGCCAUUUAAGAAGGAAGGUAAAAGAGUAAAAGACGAACACUAGAACAUGGGGAGCAACUCCACCCUGAGUCGUACGUGAUGUCAUUAACGAUCAUUCAAGUCUUCAAGAUCUCCCUUUCUUCGUGGUGGUGAUGGCUAGUUAACUCUAUUAGCUUGUUAUGUUAGGAAAGACUUAAUUUGAUGAACCAUCACUCCAUUGUUAAUGUUUAUAAUAUUUUAUUUAUGUGAUACAAAAUUAUUAGUAAUGAAAUGAAAGAAAUCUUGUAAUUUCAAACAUAGAGAGUAAAUAAUAUGAGUAAAUAACAGUAUAACACCAUACACAUUGAACGCGCACCUUGGCCGGGCUUGGGGGAGGCGGUGACGGCGAGCGCCUUGGGCAGCGUGGAGAGGUGCACCCCCGCGGCGGCCGGCGCCGGCAGGCAGCCGCAGAGAAGCACCGCCGCAAGCAACGAGAACACCACGGCGCCUUGUUGCCGAGCCAUCGCUUCUCCUGACGCGUUAAUAAUCGAUCGCCGGCCGGUGAUCUCUUCCUCUCUAGCUAGUUACCUGACUGGUGGGUGGUCGGAGACGGAGGCGAGGAAUCUGAUGAGGUGCUUGGAGUUGGGUUGGAUGAGUACGGACGCGGCUAGCCGAGAAUAUAUAGGCACGUUGGCCGAGGAGGUGUCGAGCAGUUGACUUUGCUCGCGGCCCUGUCGGCAAGGAGUAGGAUCAAUCGUUUAAGCUUAAUAAACAAGCUGCUAAUUAUGCGAUUCAAAAGUCAGAUCUUGACGAGGGCAGGGCCAACAGCAGCGCUGCAGCUGGUAGUAAUGUAUCUUUUCGGUCACUUCGCGAGCCUGACUUGCUUUUAGAGGGGCCCCGAAGGGCUCCGGCUUGGUGGGAUGCGGCGACCGCGCGCGAUCGAUUCGACCCUGCUCGCAAAUCAGCUGACGCGGCCAGGGGACGAACGAAACGAACCAGCGGCUCUUCCGGUGCCCCUACGCAAGGCCACGAAAUGCAGUGCAGGGCGUUGCGUCGCAUGGCGUGGCGAGGCGGCAUCCAACGGCGCGGCGCGGCGCGGCGACCGGGUGGUCGGGGGUGUUUGGCUCACAUGUGUUAAACUUCACAGUCACAUCGGAUAUUUGGAUACUAAUUAGAAGUAUUAAAUAUAAUCUAAUUAUAAAACUAAUUACACAAAUGGAGUCUAAUUUGUGAGAUAAAUCUAUUAAGGCUAAUUAGUCCAUGAUUUGACAAUAUGGUGCUACAGUAACCAUUUGCUAAUGAUAGAUUAAUUAGCCUCAAUAAAUUGGUCUCAUGAAUUAGCCCCGAAGUUCUGCAAUUAAUUUUAUAAUUAGCUAUGUUUAGUCCUACUAAUUAGCAUCCGAAUAUCCGAUGUGACAUGUGAUAAAAUUUAACUACUGAUAUUCAAACAUGCAUUUAGAUGGUGCGGCCGCAGCCUGUAGGACUAGGCAGACCAGGUGCAGAGAUUCCCACGGCAGGAAUGGACAUGGAGGCAUAUGUCAGCUGUGGUGUUCAAAAUCCACGCGGACUACAUGCCUGCGGCGAGGGGAAGGGUGGUUUCACUUUCGCACGGUCGGCACGACAGAAUCGAACAGAAUUUCCACCCAUUUCGGUUCCAAUGGGAGCGCAUCUCAUCUGUCGAUAGCUUGAUGAAGAGCUAGUUGCGACAGCAGCAUGCCGGCACAUUGCUUCACAUGGUAAAACCCGCGCGCCAACUAAAAGAGGAUCGAUCGAGAUGUACGGGGUCAUGUGACUCUUAGCAAAGAUUAAGGGUUACAAAGUGCAACGUUUGAUUGACUCGCCUCUAUCAGCACGUAAUAAGAAUUAGCGACAAGGAGCACGGCUUAUCAACGGGCCGAUGUCACGUAAUAAGAAUUAAAGAGUAAACAGGAGGACGGCACUGAAUUAUUGACGGAAUCAUGCGUUCAAUUUUAAGUGGACAGGCCAACUUCCAUUUCGAGGGUAUCUGAAUCACAAUUCAGAAUUUGGUUUAUCUUUUUAUCUAUCUUUUCUUAAAAAUUCUUUUUUUUGAACGAACCAUAUUGGAGAGCUGCCGAUUAUAUUAAAAAAAGAAUUUCAGACUGAAAAAAUAUAAAAGGAAAAGAAAAGAAAAACAAUACAAACUCGCCUGGUCGGAUUAGGACAUCAAUGCAGAUAGCCACUCAACACCAAAACUAUCACACCCUACCGAUUGGAUUGGGACAUCAACACGGUCUCACCGCUCUGCUCGCCACGGCGGCACCCACCAACAUCCACGCUCAUAACUCGCCGAAACGUCUAGGCGUGGUCCGGCAUCGACAGGGAACCGAUAGAAACAGACUGCACUGCACCGAGAUGGCCACCGCCAUACGAGACCCUCCGCUGUAGUGCCGCUGCAACACCACACUCUAUCUGACAGAGUGAUACCACCGAAUCCGGACCUCUCUUAGGCUGCCUCGCAGUCGCCACCGCGAUAACACAAUGCGCGGGGACCUCGCCACAUCCGCCGUUGGACUCCACCUCACUCUCAUCGCCUUGAAGAAACACCACGUGCGGGGGUCUCACCACGCCCGCCAUAGUACUCCACGUCAUGGAUCCGUUUCUUUUGUCGCUGUCAAAGUGGUAAGCAAUAUUGCCCCGCUCCACAAGAUCUCCGUCGAUUAGCCAAGCCGGCGUUGCAGGUCGACUUCGCCUCGUUACUUCACCCGCGCAAAAGCAUCCGCCGUCAUGUCAGCAAGUCAGAGAAGUCGCUUGCGCCGUCUUCCAACGAUGUACGCACCGGGUAGUCCAGCCAAGCUGAGCAACCCGCCGCGGUCCGCUGCAAGCCUAGUUGUCCCAUGAUGCCGUUGCCGCAAGCGUCGUCCUCCAACGCAGUCCCACGCCGCACUGACCGUUGCCAAGAAACGCCAGCCACCGCGAUCCACUGCAAGCGGCCAAGAUCGACAACCCUUGGCCACCACCAUAACUACGAUCGCCUCCACAUGACCUCGGUAACACCCGUCCAGCUUGCCACGCGACGGAAUUGUCACCACCGGCUGCGGCCGUCCAUGACUAAUGGACUAGGACUGGCACAGGCCGAGAUGGGUCUCUAGAGACGACGCCUCCAAGGAGGGCACAACGCCAAUGGCGCCACCGUCGCUAGUCCAGGAUCUGGACAGGGUUUUCAUCCAGAGGACCCCAUGCAGUAGGGUUGUAGCUCAGCAAUGACACCCCCAACGGGAAGAAUGACGCCCUAGGGUGCUGCCGUCAUCUCCACCAGCAAGAAUGCCCGCGAGGGCUUUCGCCCGAAGCAUCCCAACCCCUACACGUUCACGGCUCAGCACUCCCGGCCACAAUCACUGCAGUCCAACCGGGGCGACGUCGCCACCGCGCCUCCUCGCACCACGCAGCCGUACCUCUACCUCCGCUCGCUCGCCGUCAGUCAUCCUCCUUGCGCCGUGGCCUGCGCCGCCGCCCCUCCGUGUCACUAUUUUCCACGCUAGCGCCACCUUCGCACCGUGCCCUGCCCCAUGCACUGCCGCCCGCGGGCCACUACCUCAUGCAUGCGGCUGCCGCCGGCCACCACGCCCAUGAGCACCCACAUCGCGCCGCUUCCCCGCUUUAUGCUUCCGCCGCUUCAUGCCUUCACUGCUUCCCCACGUCGCGUAUUGCCGAGCAGGCUUUCACCCAACACCCACCCGCUCGCCGCCGCUGCAAGCUCAUCACCCACCACGGCCACCGCCAUCAACCUCUCCUCCCAGCCAACGCCACCACCCUGCCAUGCCGAGACCGAGAGAGGCCAUGACCUCCAGCACAACAUUAGGCACCCCCCGUGCUCCCAGCUCUCACAGCCUCCCACUCCACACCUCCUCAGCACGUCCUCCUCCUGCCUCAACGCGAUCUAGCUCAGAGGCACGUCGUGGAACCUGGCGAACUCCAUGCGCAGAGCCCACUAGUGCAGCCGGUCAUGCCGCUCGCGGUGGCGGACGCCUUCCUGUAGCAGCACUGCGGGCUGUUGGCCUCCGCGCCGUCGCUGCUCUCUAGGAGCUCGUCGUCGUGGACUGCGGAUCUGGCCGCUGGAGGGCUAGGUCGACCCCCACUUUGCUCGAGAAACCGCGGCCACCCGCUCCACCCCUUGCUCAAACUCGUCCCGCGCAGACGCCAUCGCGCGGCAUCCACCCCAGCGUUGAUCGCCGCCCCGCGUGGACCCCGCAUCCGGCCGUGGGGGACUCGGAUCCAGUCUCACCGGCAUGGCCGCGCGCCGCCCUACGGUGAUUCCCUCCGACAGCCAUGGCGGCCGCGCCCGCCAUGAGAGAUGAAGGAAGGGAAGCAAGCCACCCCACCGCCGCCGUCCUCGCGAGCCGCGCGGGCUUCCGGCGGCUGGCUCGAGCGGCAGCGCGGUGGUGGGGAGAGGGAGGAAGAGGCGGCGGCGGCAAGGGUUUCAUCCGCCCGUGUCGCUCACACGGGAGUGAUGCGGGGGCUCGCCCAAAUCUGAGUCUGUUGUGCUCUUCAAAAUUCUUUCCUUUACGUAAUUUUAUUUAUUUUUCAUUCCACUUCUUCUUUGAACGCUUGUAGCGAGUGCCGUUUCGAACUUUGGCGCCCGCCUGGUGGGAAAAUGGCCCAUCGAAAAUCCUAUUUAUGGAAUCCAAAAGUAAAGAGUGCACAACAUGAAUACUCUGUCAACCCAAAUAGAAGAGGUCUAUAGCUUCUCUGAUACGUAAAUGAAUGAGAGAAUGAGGCAUGGUUUAUACAACAAGCAUGUAUUUGUGUAGACGAACAUGUGACUUGCGCCUUGCGACGCAGUGAGCAACCAAGCAAAAUUGGUGUAAACCUUUUGCCAUCUGCAUGUUAACUUUUGACAACGAGCAUUAGAUGUGAUAAGUAUAUAGUCGAUGCCUUAAUUCCGAGUUAAUUGUACGGCUAUUAUAGUAAAAAUGGUCAGUAGAGGUCUGUCAUCUCCUCUAUAAGUUAUAGAGAUGUCUACGAAACACAGAUGUGAAAGCACCACGAACUCAUUCUCCACUACUUCCUUUCAUCAGGAGAUUUGUGCGUGGUGGUGGUGUUGUCGGCGCUCGGAUUUGAAACGCGGAUGCGAAUGUGGUCCAUCCUCUUGGUGCUCACGCGGUCCGCGAGCAGGGCAUCUCUGCGAUGGGUGGGAUGCCUUGAUGAGAGAGUGAGAAAUGAAAGAUAGAGGAGUCUUUUUGCAACUUGUUGUCACAUUGCAUGGCCACAUAGGUGAAAAGGUGCUUCCGUGGAUGCCCUUGGACCUUCAUAGUCACUCUUUAUUAGAUUGUGGACCUAGAUGACCACUUUAAAAUUUAUAGACGACAUCGAGAAUAGUUUAAUAAGCUACAGUGAAAAUUCACUUUUAGUAAGAUAGAAAAUGGUAAAAGAGAAACCAUGUACAACUCCUGAUUAUUAGGGUCACAUGUGGAUGCUAGCUGAUAAACAAGAUAAUGACUCCAGAUCCUAGUCGAACUAACCUGACCCAGGCCACAUACUAUUACAAAUACACUCAUUGACUACGCUUGCAACAUGAACCAGAAAUUCCAAAACCAGAGCACAUUUGGGUUGGGAGAAAUCGAGAGAAAUCAGAGCUUUGAAAAAAUGAUCUUGCUAAAACUUGAAAGCUUAACAAUAUAUUAGUUGAUGAAUGGAUGCUAAUCAUCAUAACUUGGAAAAAAUCACAUGAUAUUACUUAACGUGCAACAACUGGUUCUUGAAAUUGUGAUAUGUUGUAAGUCCUGUAUCAGGGUGAGAUGGGCAAACCUUAGUCAAUUAUGGAAUCCGAUGCUGGCUCUACAGGUUUUAGGAGAAAGUCGUUCCAAUGGCAGCGCAUACAUGCUUCUUAUUUUUGCAGGUGUAAGAAGGACCGGGGAGAUCACAUCUCUCUAUGAUGGCGUCACUACGGGAAACCUUAAAUUUGCCGAGUGUAUUUUUUUUGCCGAGUGUUUUUUUGCGAGCACUCGGCAAACAAGCUCUUUGCCGAGUGCCAAGCUAAAAACACUCGGCAAAAAAAAAACACUCGGCAAAUCGAGGCUUUGCCGAGUGUCAAAUAAAAAACACUCGGCAAAGCCCCCUCUUUGCCGAGUGUAAAAAAAACACUCGGCAAAGAUGGUAGUUUGCCGAGUGUUUUUUUUUACACUCGGCAAAGAGGGGCUUUGCCGAGUGUUUUUAUUUUGACACNNNNNNNNNNNNNNNNNNNNNNNNNNNNNNNNNNNNNNNNNNNNNNNNNNNNNNNNNNNNNNNNNNNNNNNNNNNNNNNNNNNNNNNNNNNNNNNNNNNNGGCCGCCCGGCCGCCCGCCGCCCCCCACCCGACGCCCGGCCCCUCCUCCCUCUCCAGCCGCCGCCCCGGCCCCUCCUCUCCCUUUCUCCGGCCACCGCCCCGCCCAUCUUCUCCGGAUCCGGCCACCGCACAGCCCCUCCUCCCCGGAUCCGGUGAGCGCGGACUUCGUGGUGGUGGCGCCGGAUCCCUCGCCUCCCUCUCCAGGUAACUCCCUCCACUCCUCCGCUCUUCCCCUCUCUCGCAAACGGUUCAGGAUGUGGUGGCGGCGGCGGAGCAGGAUGUGGUGGCGGCGGCGGAGCUGGCGGUGGUGGUGGCGGCGGAGCUGGCGGUGGUGGUGGCGGCGGAGCUGGCGGUGGUGGCGGCGGCGGAGCAGGAUGUGGUGGUGGCGGCGGAGCUGGCGGUGGUGGCGGCGGCGCAGCUGGCGGUGGUGGCGGCGGCGGAGCAGGAUGUGGUGGCGGCGGCGCAGCUGGCGGUGGCGGAGCUGGCGGUGGUGGCGGCGGAGGAUGUUUUUUUUUUUCAAAAAUUUGUUGCCGAGUGUUUUCUCGGCACUCGGCAGAGACUUUGCCGAGUGCCCGACGCAAAACACUCGGCAACUCAGUGUUUGCUGACUGAAAAAUUGCCGUGUGCCGUUUGCCGAGUGUUACACUCGGCAAACGGUUCGCCGAGGGUUUUUUGCCCUUCGCCGAGUGCCCCUAGCACUCGGCAAUUUCACUGUCUCCCGUAGUGCGUGUACAUACAAAACAGAUCCACAGAUUGGUAUGCCAUUGAGAUGGCAACGUUAUAUAUUUUGCAGGUGCAAAAGGUUCAAGAUCUUACUCCAUUGGCGACGGUAGUGUGAACAGGUCUGCAAUGUUGUUCCGACUCGCAGCCUUGCAAAGUGAAUUGCAAAAUCGUUAUGUGAGAUCGCUUUGCGAUUCUAUGGAUAAAGAAGGGGAAGAGGCUUGUUCUCGAUCAAUGGCGGAGCUUGAAGCAAAGUUGAGAGGGGGGCAAUAUAAAUUGGAGGGUGAAUAACAGCAGGGAGAGGGGACCAAUUUUAAGCUUAGCUAGCAAUUAUACCUUGUAUCUACUAACUUCAUCAAGAAAUUGCAAAAUUUGAAGGGAGGGGGGCAUUGCCCUGUUGGCCAUCACUAAGCUCCGCUAGUGUUCUUGAUUAGAGGCAUGUUUGAAAGAUUGCCUUUACAAGUCCCCUCCAUAUUGCAUGUUUAUGCGCAGGUCUACAAAGAAAAGGGAAGGAAAUAAAGUAUACAUUGAUAGCCUGACUACAGAUGAAAGCCAAAUUUUGUGACGCCCAGGUUUAGUUAAAAAUCUCAGAUUUGUUAGUUUCCAAUUAUCAUCCUUCCGAGACCGAUGAGGCCGGAAGAUUCCAGUAUGUCCUUACCGACGAGGCUGGACAAAUCACAUUCGUGACCGACGAGGCCGAACGCAUUUACAUACCAAGAGCACUUAGUUAAAAUUCCAUGCGUAACGAAAUAUGGCAUCAAGUCGCUUGACAUUUCUCCCUUUACUUUUUUAUAUACAUCAUUCAUCUAUAUGGAGUACAGGACAAGAUGCUUGAUCACAAUGAUCAUUUGACGCAGCAUAAUCGGAGGCGUUCUAUAGCCUCAACCUAUGGAUAUAAUUAAUUAGAGUUUUUGCUAGGCUCUAUGAUUCGGGAACUAUGCAAUCGUCUGUACCUUGAGGCGCUAUGCAGAAAUAUAUGUAAAAAGAGGAGACGUGUAAAUUUCUCAAGAAAUGAAUAAAGAAAGAAACUUUCCCAUUUUAUUGUGUUUCUUUGUGUUUUAUUUAUCUAUUUGUAUACUAUUGUAUACUGGUACACCGCACCCUAUUAAGCCGUAUGCAGAUAAAUUUUGAGUAUUUCUCACGCGAAAACACACAAAUAGCCAAUAGGAUCAUUGCCAUUUCUAUUUAGCAACUUAUUAUCUACAAACUAAUUAAAUACGCCAAUUAUUUUUUAAAUGUAAAAAUUUGAUACAUUAUAUCAAUAAUGCAUAUGAUAUCAAUUUUAUGUGAAUUACUAUACAAUUUUUUGCUACUAUUUUUUUGUUGUGUCUACGAGUUGUAGUGUCUAUGAGAUUUAUUACGGUGGUGUUGUAAAAAUUAUGCUAAAAUCUUGAUGUAAACGUGCAUGAAUUGUACCGCCGAUCUUUUCUAUCAAAAUAAUAUGUGGUGCUUUAGUGGUGCCAAACACAUAUUAGAAACAAAUAUAUUUGUCUACAUGAGUUCAAUAUCACCUAUUUGCGAAAAGAUUAGCUAUCCAAGAUCAAGUCCUACUGAAGGUAUAAUAAUUAUUUUUCCAUAAAUGUUGUAUAUAUUUUAAUUUCUUGUCAAUUGGUCAGCUAUAUACAAUUUGUGAUUUCCUUAUGUCAGUGUAGAUACAUACCUUAGGGUUUACUUUGUAGCUUCAAAUGUUCGUGUUGCUUUUAACCUUGGUUAUUUAUGCUCUUACCCAUAUUUUGAAGUGUAAUUGUGAUUUUACCCUUAUUUUUAAAUUUUGUGACUUUACCCUUAACUAUUCACGGGUCAAUGCUAUUUUGUCCCUACUCAACAUCAAAAUAAGGAAAAAUACGCAAAGACUAAGGGAAAAAUCACAUUAACUUGUAAAUAAUUGAGGGUAAAAUCACAAAGCUAAAAAAAUGAUGGUGAAAAUACAAUUACACUUCAAAAUAGGAUCAAGAUCAAAAAAACCUAGCAAUAAACUGACCCUCCUAGAUUCUUCCUAGAAUAUCUCAACUCUAUUUCUCUAAUAACUAUCCUACCUAAAAUAUAGGAAAAAGUCCAAAUUACUCCUCUCUCAAGUGUAACACAUACUCCAAAUAUUCUAGCAUAUUACAAAAAUGCAACCUAUUUUCAACAAAGGAAGAUGUAGUUUGGAGUCAUAUGUUAAGAUGGCAUUAUUAACCUAAGGGCGAGUUUGGCAGGGCUCCUCGCGAGGGGCUCCUCGUGCGGAGCCGGAGCCGGAGCCGCGGAGCCACUUUUUUGGGCUCCUCCAUGCAGGCCUAAAACGGCUUCGGCUCCUCCCAAAUGUGCCAAAAAAUGGCUCCGCGGUCAAUGCCGUUUGGUGCGGCUCCGGCUCCUCCGUGCUUCGGUAAGCGCACGGAGCCGGAGCCGGAGCCCUGCCAAACUGACCCUAAAUAGUUGGCAUUUCUAGUUAUUGAGAAUUAAAAUUGAGGCUCUUUUAUAACCAACUAAUGACACGUGAUGGUAUUUGUCUGGCCUGACCCUAGCCGGAUAUACCCAUGAUUCUUGAAACAGAUUGUGCAACAGUGGUGAGUGAGGCAUAUGGGUACGCUAUGGGUCCUCACUGACCAGGAUACUGGCCGGCUCUGGCAAGUGGGUCCGUCCGACCAGAACGUGCGGUCCAAGGACGUGAAGGUACUUGGAGCACAAGUAAAGAAAGUCGGGCAAUUCAAAUCAGCUCGGAUAUUGCGGGAUACUUGUUGUAAUCCGACUUAGAUUGCUUUCCAUGUAACAAACGAGUAGAUUAGAUUCAAACUGACUUGUAACCCUAUGUCAUCAGCCUAUAUAAGGCGGCCAAGGGCGCCUCCUGAGGGCAAUCCAACCCCAAUCCCAACUAUUCCACGCACCAGCACAAAGCAAUACAAACCACCAGCAUACAAGACGUAGGGUAUUACUCCCCGGAGUCCCGAACCUGUCUAAACAUUUGUGUUAUCGUGAUUACCUUCAAGUUCUUGUUCUCGUAAUUCUCCCUACCUACAAAUCAACCACUUAGGUAACCUCUUGGUAAACUGUUAGGCUACUAAAUCUGACAAUGAGCAAGCUCCAUGUGACAUCAUUGUACAUAUCCUUGGUGUGGUCGCUGAUUCAGGAGGCCCUAGAGAAAAGGCGUCACUACAUCAGCUACAACAUCUCGAGGUCAAGAAGAUCAGCAGGGAGCAAAGUAAUGGCACAUGAAUUGACUCAUCUGGCAAUUAGUUUGAGCUAAGGAUGUGCCUUUUUUUUCUUUUACUGAUUUCUCGCGGACACUCGUUUGUAAUGACGUUACCUAAACUUUAAUAAAUUUCUUGUUCCGUAAAAAAAAAGACAUGUCGAUUUUGUAGAUCAAAGCCACCAGUCAGCCUAUAAAAAUCUUAUCAUUUAAUUUGUUGCAGGUGCGGUUGUUGUGAACUAUGGAGAAGCAAACAGAUCAUCUCAGAUUCUCAGCUAGGGUACGUUGUGCGAUGGGAUAUUCCUUUCAUGGAUUCUGCGUCAGCGCUGACAAUUACACCUGCAAUUUUAGAGUAGGUUUCACCGUGCCUUCUCUGUUACACAGAACAAGCUAACCAAGACCAGCCGGAAAGAACUCUACGCGGGGUAACAAGCAUUGCAACGGCCACCUGGCCCCUACUUGUUCUUCUUGCGGUUCUCGAUGACGAAGAAGAAGGCGAGCGCGACGACGGAGAAGGCGGAGAACACGCCGGCGGCGACCUUGAUGGAGGCGUGGAUGCCCGUGAUGCCGGCGACGACGAAGGCGGCUUCGGGGCCCGUCUGGCCGUAGGCCACCUGCGUGCCGGACGCGUCGAGCGCGUACGCGCGCACGUAGUAGGUGCCCGAGGGGAUGUCUUUGGCGACGGCGUAGUCGAAGCUGCGCCGGGCGCCGGCGGCGUAGGCCUGCUGGGUGAGCUUGAACUGGCACGCCUUGUCCUUGCUCAGGUCGUCUUCGGACUUGCGCCACCCGCGGUCCUUCUGGCUCACCGGCGCGUAGCACAGGUUCACCUUCACGUUCUUGAACGCGGCGUCGGCGCCGGCGGGUUCGGUGGUGUUCAGGGACCAGGUCACCGUCACCGUGUCCACGCCGGCGUGCAGGACUGCGCAAGGACAUGGAGGAUUUCGUUGUUAAUAUGACAGAAACUGCAAAGUAUAAAAAAUUUGAAAUAUCGACACAAUGCAAAGUGAAAUGCUAAUUAUUUGGAGAAAACUCCCUCCAGUCACCAAAAUAUGGCGUUUUAGACCAGAAAAGCAGCUUAGACGGUAGGUGCAGUUCAAUUUCUAGAAUUAUACUCUUUCUUGGGAUUUUUUCAAAUGUCAGGAGUACACUUUCUAUGAGAUGGAUGGAGUACUACUGCUGCUCAUCUAGAAAGUCAAGUGUUCUGUUCUUUUUUUCUAUAUCAAACAUGAAGUAUUUUUGACUGGAGGCAGUACAUUAGGAUGGCCCUAGAAUUUCUCACAAAGGACGGACUCCGUAAAUUAAACUGUCAAAAGAGGAGAGUUUACCCUUUUAACUUUUGAGAAAUUAAAUAAUCGGUUAAAAGUGUCUCAAUUAUUGCCCAAAAGGCUUUUACUAUUGGCCGGCCUAUAUAGCUUGUAAUAAAAUGUUUCUCUCUUGCUGUUGUUUCUUUUUGAGCCGCAUUGUGAGUGACAAAAGAGCAUAGUUCAGCUGUCUCGAUCAGCAACAAAGAGAGAGACGAGCACCUGGAACAUAUUCUCCAAUUUGUGCUCUCAUGUCAUUUGAGUUUGUCUUCAAAAUAUAUCCAUAGGGAAAACUAAAAUAUAUGUAUAGGACUAUAGCCUAUAGGAGUACUGGGAGAUCAUUGAAUUUUUUUGGAAAAACCUGAGAGAUCGUUUCAUUAUCUCACCCUUCUUUAUGGCACUUGCUGCUAAUUAAGACUAUGACUUUGCUACAAAGACCACUAAAAGUACUAACAUGAUUAAAUUAAUUAGGCACUGCACAUUGGAAGCCAGGAAUUAAUUAGCGGCAGAGCCAAUUAAACAGCUAGCUGGCUAUCAGUAUCAGCCGGCAGGUCAAACGGAGCAGGAACUUGGAAACACUUUGCGACCGAUGCAGUAGCGCAGACCGGAGAGGGUGCGACGCAGAUGAUAUAGCUAGCU